CUUGUACUCCCUCCGUCCGAAAAUACUUGUCAUUGAAAUGGAUGUAUCUAGAUGUAUUUUAGUUCUAGACACAUCCAUUUUGAUAACAAGUAAUUCCGGACGGAGGGAGUACUUG
rfam:Triticum aestivum genome assembly, contig: Triticum_aestivum_CS42_TGACv1_scaffold_646442_T_7AS-0.080679_1AL-0.053533